GAGCCGCCCUCACGCCGAGCGCUGCGGACGGGGGCGCGCAACCUGCCGCCGGCCGGGACCCUGCGGCGAGUGCCGGAACCCGGCCGGGCGGGGCCUCCCGCGGCCCGGCCGCUUUAUUGGGUCACCGGCCUCGCCCACCGCCCUGCCAGCCGCAGCCAUCUCGGCGGGCGCGCCGCUCGCAGCCAGCGCCCCAUCCCCAGGCCUGCACCUCGUGGAUGGCAGAGCUGUGUGUUGUCCGUGGUCAGACACACAGGAAGUCUGAAUUGUUAUCCUGUUCUGCCACUGAAAUGUGUAAAAUAUAGGGGGAGUGUCCCAAGUCAUUUUCCUAAAAGCAUCAUCCAACUAUGAGCUGAACACUGCCCCGAGAAUGCAACAGAACUUCAGCUCUGUCCCAAGGUCGUCAGCCACAGCUCCAAGUUUCUUAGCAUCAGCUUUUUCUGAACAAAAUAGUGCAUCCUGCUGGAAUCACUACUGUAAACUGAGUAUAAAGGAAAAUAAACCCUCUUUUUCUUAUCCACUAUGUUCCCUACUCCCGUGCUUUUCCCAGUGCUCCAGGAAAAAAAUGAAGAAGAAGAGGAGAAAGAAUAAGAGGAUGAAG
rnacentral:lncRNA from 1 species